ensembl:lncRNA
AACGCUAGCGGCGCUGAAACCGGGCCCGCCCCGGAGGGUUCUGGGAGGAUGAGUUCCACUUUCUCCCUAGGCUGCUGCAGUCCGAGUUCCCUUUCCUCCAUCAGAAAGCCAGGGUUUUCGGAGGCUCCAUUCCACAAGCAUUAAGGAGGAGAACUCCCGGCUGGGUCUCACAGUGAAACUCCCCAUCUGAAGAAGAGCUGUUGUACAGGAGAGCUGCAAAUACCUUCCUUUUUUCUCAGAAACUGGGGGUUCCUCUGACCUUCUCCCUUGGGAUGGAGUGUGUUGGCUAAGCUCAUUCACCAGAGCCGAGGGAACCGGGGGCCUUAGCCAGGGUCAAAAGCUGUGGUACAAACGGCAGGAAGAGCUGAGAUUGGAGAAUCUGCAGUGGGAGGUAGAGCUGCAUAUUAAUAAGGAAAACCAGUAAACCCACCAAGGACCUCAGAGCAAAAUGGAGAUGGUGGUAAAAACAUGAGUUUCUAGAAUGAGAAAUUAACCUCCCUUCCCCACUCCGUUCCCCCUGCACCCUCCCCAACCCCUUCCCCUAAUCCAUGAAAGCACUGCGGAGAAGUUCUAGAGCAGGAAGCUCAAAUGCCCCCCAGAGAAAUCCCCUUUUUGGACCUCCCUGUCUUCAAAGGUACCCCCAAUCUAGAGCUAAGUAUGGGCCAGUCCCUUUUAGUAAAGCAUACUGUAGUGGGAGGAGCACUGGAUUUGAAGUCAGAAUACGUGGGAAUAAAUCCUCAUUUUGGCCUAAUGGCCUAUAUGAUUUCCAUCUCUCUGGGCCUCACUUUUCUCAUUGAUAAAAUGAGAAUCUUUAAAAUCCUUCUAGCACCAAAGCUAUAAUGUUUUAAUAAUGCUUUAAAAAAGGCUGUUAAAUAGGAGAGAAGAGAUGAAAUGUCAUGUUGUGUGUGUUUGUGGACAACAAGGCUAGAUGGGUUGGCUAUCGACUGCAUGAGAGUAACUAAUGAAUAAUAAGGUUGGAAAGGUGGGCUGAGACCAGAUUGUGAAGGGCUUAAAUAUCUAAUAGCUUGUAUGCACAGAGCUAUUUGCAUAUUGUCUUCCCCAUUAGAGACAUAGGAAUGCCUUGUGAUCAGACACUGUGUCUUGCUUUCCUUUGAAUCUCCAGUACUAUGUCUGGUUUAUAGUAGGCAAUUAAUAUAUACUAGUUGACUAUGUGACUCACAACUCCAAGUUGGGUAACAAAAGUAUUACUGGUAUUGAAAUAAUAUCAAUGUUGAUGUGGUAUACCAGUUCUGAAAUGAUGGUGAUAUUAUAUAUACAUAUCAAUGUAAUAUGUCAUCAUGUUAUGAUAUGACUCAUACCAUCAAGAAAAUAACUAAUAGUUACUUAGAGUACAUAGAGGAUCUUAGUAAUAAUAACUAGCAUUUGUAUAGUGAUGAUGGGUCAGGGACUAUGCUAACCACUUUACAAAUAUUAUCUCAUUUAAUCCUUACAAAAACCCUGGGAGGUAGAUGAUAUUAUUACUUCCACUUUAUAGUUGAGGAAACUGAAAAUAAAAAGACUUCCAGGGCCACACAGCUAACACAUAGGAGAGGCUCAGUUCCAGAACUCUCUCUACUUUGCCACUUAACUGCCUCUAGAUCUUGGAAUGAGGAAGCCUCAAGCUCAGAUUUUUAGUCUGAUACGUACUGGCUAUGUGGCCAUAGACAAAUCAUUUAACUUCUCAGUGUUCUGGGCAAUUCUUUUGAGGCUAGAAAUUACAGAUGAGUUUUUCAUCUGUAUAACUGGAGAAAAUUGUCUGUACAAAAAAUUCCCAUAUUAAUAAAAUCCGAGGUCUACACAAAAGAAAGCAAAACUCCCACUUACAAAGGAUACUUCAAGUUUAUAUUUAUAGGACUUUAAGGCGUUGUGCCCUCACAACAACUCUAUUGCAAUGGGUAGUACAGGUAUUAUUAUUAUUAUUCCCAUUUAUGGAUUAAAAACUUGAGGCACAGGUUAAGUGACUUGCUAACUGUGAACCAAGCCUUAAAAAUUUAUAUCUUCUGAUUCUAGAAACCCAUGUUUUUGUGUUUAUAUCACAGGCCAAUGGGGCAGUAAAUGGAGUACAAGGCCUGAAGUUAGGAAGACCUAAGUUCAAAUCCUGCCUCAGAAUUUGCCAGCUGUGUGACCCCGGAAAAGUCACUUAAUCUCCAUUUGCUUCAAUUUCCUCAUCUCUAAAAUGGGAAUUAUAAUAGCACCUACCUUCCAAAAUUGCUGUGAGGAUCAAAUGAGAUAAUAUUCGUAAAGGACUUAACCCACUAUCUGUCACAUAGGAGGGGUUUAAUAAAUACUUGUUCCCUUUCCCUAUCCAGUUCCCUUCUUUCUAUCAAAAACAGGAAUUUUGUUUUCUUUGACUAUGCUCCAUAACAAGACAGAAACACAAUAUGGAUCAGAUAAUCAUUAUUUUUUAUACUGGACAGAUGAAGAUGGAGUUGAGAGAUUUGAUGGAAGAGACCUCUCAAAUAUUUCCCAGUUCCCUGAGGAACUGAUAAAGCCUUAAAAGGAUCCAAAUGUGCAAAAAUGCUUGUGGCAGCCUUUUUUGUAGUGGCAAGAGACUAGAAACUGAGUAGAUGUUCAUCAAUUGGAGAAUGGAUAAAUAAGUUAUGGUAUAUGAAUGUUGUGGAAUAUUGUUAUUCUAUAAGAAAUGAUCAGCAAGAUGAUUUCAGAGAAGCUUGGAGAGACUUACAUGAAUUGAUACUAACUGAAGUGAGCAGAACCAGGAGAUCAUUAUAUAUGGGAACAACAAGAUUAUAUGAUGAUCAAUUCUGAUGGACGUGGCUCUUUUCAACAAUGAGAUGAUUUAAACCUGUUCCAAUGAUCUUGUAAUGAAGAGAGCCAUCUGCACCCAGAUAAAAGACAAUGAGAACUGAAUGUUACCACAACGUAAUAUUUUUACUUUUUUUGGUUGUUGUUUGCUUGCAUUUUGUUUUCUUUCUCAGUUUUUUUUCUCUUUGAUCUGAUUUUUCUUAUGCAGCAAGAGAAUUGUAUAAAUAUGUUUACACAUAUUAGAUUUAACAUAUAUUUUAACAUGUAUAACAUAUAUUGGAUUGCUUGGCAUCUAGGGGAGGAAGUAAGGGGAAGGAGGAGAAAAUCUGAAACACAAGGCUAUGCAAGGGUCAGUGUUGAAAAAUUAUCCUUGCAUAUGUUUUGAAAAUAAAAAGAUUUAAAAAUAGAAAAAGAAAUUGAUAAAGCUUGUAGUUUGUUUUCCUCUGUUUAUUUUUUAUCAAGUAAAUAAGGCUAAGGUCUCUUAGAAUCCCAAAUUUCCUUUAAGACUUAAAUCUAGCACCAUCUGCUAAUGUUACCCUGCCCCCUCCAAUCAUUUUGAGUCUAUUUUGUAUUUAUUUUAAAUAGAAAUAUGUAAUCAGCCUGCUAUACUUCUAUAUGUACAUUUGGUUUUCUCCAGUAGCCUGUGAAUCAUUGAAGGCAAGGAUUCCUUUUACUUUAAUCUCUAUAAUGACAUUCCCUUGCACAAAAUAGGCAAUAAUUUUUAAC